CAGCAAUCAACUUUGGUGUCUCAAGGCUUCACCAAAAAAUUGUAGACUAAAAUAACCCUCAAACAAAAAAAAACAAAAACUGACACAAUAAAAUACAUUAAAAAACUCAUGGACAUUUUUGUCAGAAUACAAAAAUAUAAAAUUUGUUUUAUUAACAGAAAAAGAAAAAGAAACAGAUAACUCCUCCAUUUUAGGAGAGAGAACAACGGGAGAAAAAUCUUCAGGAUUAGCACGUUUAAUUUUCAAACUGCAUAGCAGUUUCCAUACAACCCACGUCUAUCUUCUAUUCCCCCAUUUUCUGAUCAAACUUCUUCCUCACACAAUUCCACGUACAACUCUAUUCAUUCUGCUUUCUAACUGCAGCCUACCACUCCAUAUUCUCUCCUUCUUUCACUACUAUUUCUCUACAGGUUUCAGUUCUCACCCAUUUGCAUGCUAAGAAUGUACACAAAUCGCAUCAAAGGGAGGCUAUGAUGAAGGGACUGAUAACUCUGCAAGAUGUCGAAAUGGCUGUUGCCGAUGCUGAUGGUUACUCCUUCUCUCAAUCUCUCCGUUGUAUUUGCUAUUGCUAUUGUAUCUUUAAUCGUGUACACCAAAUUAAACAACGUAUUGUUUCUGGCUAAAGCCUUGCAAGUAUCUAAAACUGAUUCAGUUUGUUUC